CAGUCGCCGCGGUAAUACAGAGGGUGCGAGCGUUAAUCGGAUUUACUGGGCGUAAAGCGUGCGUAGGCGGCUUUUUAAGUCGGAUGUGAAAUCCCUGAGCUUAACUUAGGAAUUGCAUUCGAUACUGGGAAGCUAGAGUAUGGGAGAGGAUGGUAGAAUUCCAGGUGUAGCGGUGAAAUGCGUAGAGAUCUGGAGGAAUACCGAUGGCGAAGGCAGCCAACUGGCCUAAUACUGACGCUGAGGUACGAAAGCAUGGGGAGCAAACAGGAUUAGAUACCCCCGUAGUCCCUGUCUCUUAUAA
rnacentral:rRNA from 1 species